rnacentral:rRNA from 1 species
GUGUAGUUUGACUAGUAAAUUAAAGUCUAGGUAAGAAUUCUUCGAUUUUCUAGGGGACGAUAAGACCCUAGAAGCUUUAAAAAAGAAAAAUUUUUAGUAGUUGUAUUGUAUUUUUACUGGGGCGGUACUAGUGUUUUAACUACUAGCGGUAAAGAUUGAUCCUUAAUAUAAAGAUAAUUCGGUGAAGUUACUCUAGGGAUAACAGUGCGGUAUUUUUGGAGAGGCCUUAUUAAUAAAAAUGUUCGCAACCUCGAUGUUGAAUUAAGAUGUCUACAUGGGGCAGUAAAUAUAGUAGAGGGUUUGUUCAACCUUUAUAAUCUUACAUG